rnacentral:rRNA from 1 species
UGAGGAAUUUUGCGCAAUGGCCGCAAGGCUGACGCAGCAACGCCGCGUGGGUGAUGAAGGCCUUCGGGUCGUAAAGCCCUGUCAGGUGGGAAGAAAGGCCUUAAGGAGAAAGACUUGAGGUUUGACGGUACCACCAGAGGAAGCACCGGCUAACUCCGUGCCAGCAGCCGCGGUAAUACGGAGGGUGCGAGCGUUAUUCGGAAUUACUGGGCGUAAAGCGCGUGUAGGCGGGGGGACAAGUCUGAUGUGAAAGCCCUGGGCUUAACCUGGGAAGCGCAUUGGAAACUGUUUUUCUUGAGUACUGGAGAGGAAGGGGGAAUUCCCGGUGUAGAGGUGAAAUUCGUAGAGAUCGGGAGGAAUACCAGUGGCGUAGGCGCCCUUCUGGACGGUAACUGACGCUGAGACGCGAAAGCGUGGGGAGCAAACAGG